AACGCGUGAGGAACCUGCCUCAAAGAGGGGGACAACAGUUGGAAACGACUGCUAAUACCGCAUAAGCCCACGACCCGGCAUCGGGAAGAGGGAAAAGGAGCAAUCCGCUUUGAGAUGGCCUCGCGUCCGAUUAGCUAGUUGGUGAGGUAACGGCCCACCAAGGCGACGAUCGGUAGCCGGACUGAGAGGUUGAACGGCCACAUUGGGACUGAGACACGGCCCAGACUCCUACGGGAGGCAGCAGUGGGGAAUAUUGCACAAUGGGGGAAACCCUGAUGCAGCGACGCCGCGUGGAGGAAGAAGGUCUUCGGAUUGUAAACUCCUGUUGUUGAGGAAGAUAAUGACGGUACUCAACAAGGAAGUGACGGCUAACUACGUGCCAGCAGCCGCGGUAAAACGUAGGUCACAAGCGUUGUCCGGAAUUACUGGGUGUAAAGGGAGCGCAGGCGGGCGAUCAAGUUGGAAGUGAAAUCCAUGGGCUCAACCCAUGAACUGCUUUCAAAACUGGUCGUCUUGAGUAGUGCAGAGGUAGGCGGAAUUCCCGGUGUAGCGGUGGAAUGCGUAGAUAUCGGGAGGAACACCAGUGGCGAAGGCGGCCUACUGGGCACCAACUGACGCUGAGGCUCGAAAGUGUGGGUAGCAAACAGGAUUAGAUACCCUGGUAGUCCACACCGUAAACGAUGAUUACUAGGUGU
rnacentral:rRNA from 1 species